rnacentral:rRNA from 1 species
UACGGGGGGGCAAGCGUUGUUCGGAAUUACUGGGCGUAAAGGGCGCGUAGGCGGUUCGCUAAGUUGGAUGUGAAAACUCUGGGCUCACCCAGAGCCUGCAUCCAAAACUGGCGGGCUAGAGUUCUGGAGGGGGUAGCGGAAUUCCUGGUGGUAGCCGGUGAAAUGCGUAGACUAUCAGGAGGAACACCGGUGGCGAAGGCGGCUACCUGGACAGAAACUGACGCUGAGGCGCGAAAGCUAGGGGAGCAAACAGG